rnacentral:lncRNA from 1 species
CGUACUUGAACAAAAUUUUGUCCACUUCUCUCUCUCUCUCAAAAUCUUGGUUGAUGACUAGAUGUUGUGCUGAACGAGAUUUAUGAAAAAAAUUGUUGUAAUGAACAGGAUUAGAAGGUGGAAGAUUGAGAGUGAGAGAGGUAUAAUAAGAGAUCGCUGAAUUAAAAAUUUUAUUAAAAAAAAAGAAAAAGUAAAAUCAAGCUUGAAAACACAACAACGCUAAUUAAGGACCGAAUCUCAUAAAAACCUUUUUGACAAAAAUUCAAAGGGAAAAAUGCUCAUAAAGGAAAAGAGUAUCGAUCCGUCAAAAUCAUCCAAAAAUAGGAAAACGUAGCCCGAAAGAUGGGCCAAACAAAGCACGCACAACUGGAAACAUAGACCGCACGAAAAAGAAUCCAACACCAAAGGAGCCCGACCGAACCAGGACUAGGAUCUAACGCACAAAAAACCUGAAAAAAUUCCAACCCAACUACUCUGAAACCCC